CUACUAUGAUGAUAUUGUUCAC
rnacentral:piRNA from 1 species